rnacentral:rRNA from 1 species
UACGGGGGGAGCAAGCGUUGUUCGGAUUUACUGGGCGUAAAGGGCGCGUAGGCGGUCAGCACAAGUCAGUUGUGAAAUCUCCGGGCUUAACUCGGAAAGGUCAACUGAUACUGUGCGACUAGAGUGCGGAAGGGGCAACUGGAAUUCUCGGUGUAGCGGUGAAAUGCGUAGAUAUCUGGAGGAACACCGGUGGCGAAGGCGGCAUCCUGGACCGACACUGACACUGAGGAGCGAAAGCCAGGGGAGCAAACGGG